rnacentral:rRNA from 1 species
UGAGUAAUAUAUAGCUAAUCUGCCCCUUGCUGGAGGACAACAGUUAGAAAUGACUGCUAAUACUCCAUACUCCUUUUUACCAUAAGAUAAAUCGGGAAAGAAUUUCGGCAAGGGAUGAGACUAUAUCGUAUCAGCUAGUCGGUGGGGUAACGGCCUACCGAGGCUAUGACGCGUAACUGGUCUGGGAGGAUGAUCAGUCACAUUGGAACUGAGACACGGUCCAA